rnacentral:rRNA from 1 species
UUCCGGUUGAUCCUGCCAGACCUGACUGCUAUCGGAUUGGUACUAAGCCAUGCGAGUCGUUGUAGCAAUACAAGGCGGACGGCUCAGUAACACGUAGUCAAUCUACCUUAUGGACGGGGAUAACCUCGGGAAACUGAGAAUAAUACCCGAUAGAUCAUAAUUCCUGGAAUGGUUUAUGGUCCAAAUGAUUUAUCGCCAUAGGAUGGGACUGCGGCCUAUCAGCUUGUUGGUGAGGUAAUGGCCCACCAAGGCUAUAACAGGUACGGGCUCUGAGAGGAGAAGCCCGGAGAUGGGUACUGAGACACGGACCCAGGCCCUAUGGGGCGCAGCAGGCGAGAAACCUUAGCAAUGUGCGAAAGCACGACUAGGUUAAUCCGAGUGAUUUCUGCUGAAGAAAUCUAUUGUCAGUUCUAAAUCUACUGGUGAAUAAGGGGUGGGCAAGUCUGGUGUCAGCCGCCGCGGUAAUAC